rnacentral:lncRNA from 1 species
UCACUCCACGUACGGCGCCGGGGGGACCGGGUCCUUGCGCCGGUUUCCGCUUCUCGUGGGUCCUGCGGCGGCGGCGGCGGCCAAGCGGCGUUCACCAGGGAGUCGUUUCGGCCCAAUUGACCAGUAUUCCUUACUGAUAAGAGACACUGACCAUGGAGUGGUUCUGGUGAGAUGACAUGACCCUCGUGAAGGGGCCUGAAGCUUCAUUGUGUUUGUUCUCCCUCUGUUGCCGAGGCUGGACUGUACUGCCGUGAUCUCGGCUUGCUGCAACCUCCCUGCCUCGGGCUCCCAUGAUUCUCCUGCCUCAGCCUGCCGAGUGCCUGGGAUUGCAGGCAUGCGCCACCACGCCUGACUGGU